UACGUAGGGUGCGAGCGUUAAUCGGAAUUACUGGGCGUAAAGCGUGCGCAGGCGGUUUUGUAAGCCAGAUGUGAAAUCCCCGGGCUUAACCUGGGAAUGGCAUUUGGGACUGCAAGGCUUGAGUGCGGCAGAGGAGACUGGAAUUCCUGGUGUAGCAGUGAAAUGCGUAGAUAUCAGGAGGAACACCGAUGGCGAAGGCAGCUCGCUGGGACGGUACUGACGCUGAGGCGCGAAAGCGUGGGGAGCAAACAGG
rnacentral:rRNA from 1 species